rnacentral:rRNA from 1 species
UACGGGGGGGCAAGCGGUUGCUCGGAAUCACUGGGCGUAAAGCGCACGUAGGCGGAUUGUUAAGUCAGGGGUGAAAUCCUGGAGCUCAACUCCAGAACUGCCUUUGAUACUGGCGAUCUCGAGUCCGGGAGAGGUGAGUGGAACUGCGAGUGUAGAGGUGAAAUUCGUAGAUAUUCGCAAGAACACCAGUGGCGAAGGCGGCUCACUGGCCCGGUACUGACGCUGAGGUGCGAAAGCGUGGGGAGCAAACAGG